rnacentral:rRNA from 1 species
AGUGAACGCUGGCGGUAGGCCUAACACAUGCAAGUCGAACGGCAGCACAGUAAGAGCUUGCUCUUACGGGUGGCGAGUGGCGGACGGGUGAGGAAUACAUCGGACUCUACUUUUUCGUGGGGGAUAACGUAGGGAAACUUACGCUAAUACCGCAUCCGACCUACGGGUGAAAGCAGGGGAUCUUCGGACCUUGCGCGAUUGAAUGAGCCGAUGUCGGAUUAGCUAGUUGGCGGGGUAAAGGCCCACCAAGGCGACGAUCCGUAGCUGGUCUGAGAGGAUGAUCAGCCACACUGGAACUGAGACACGGUCAAGACUCCUACGGGAGGCAGCAGUGGGGAAUAUUGGACAAUGGUCGCAAGCCUGAUCCGGCCAUACCGCGUGGGAGAAGAAGGCCUUCGGGUUGUAAAGCCCUUUUGUUGGGAAAGAAAAGCAGCAGGUUAAUACCCCGCUGUUCUGACGGUACCCAAAGAAUAAGCACCGGCUAACUUCGUG